UUUAAUAAUAUAAUUUUUGAACGCAAAUUGCACUCUCUGGUAUUCCUUAGAUUAUGCCUUUUUUAUCUUCAUUUUUAAUAAAAAUCGUUGUGGUUGCUGCUUUUCGUGGUGAUGCAUUGGAUGUGGGUCGUCUUGCCUUCGGUUAAGUGACCUAAAAUUUUGUAUGAUUCUCUCGAACGUAUUUAAAUGAUUUUACGUACGUUUGCGAUAUUGAAUACUAGGUGCGGUCCUUUUUAUGAUUUGCGCCUAUAAUUUGUUAUCAAAAUGACCUGAACUCAGGUAAGAGUACCCGCUGAACUUU
rnacentral:misc_RNA from 1 species